GCCUCUUUUCCCACAGUACUGCACCACACCUUAUAUAACUCUUUGUAUUCUCAUUAGUACCUAAUUUUGAAUCUUUGCAAGCAGAGGGCUCGCCCUCUGGUGGUCUUUACAGAGAAGAUACGUCUAAGGAUCUUUGCUUGGUGUUACCAUUGUUUUCGCUCCGAUGUGAUCAUCCAGGCAUCGUCUGGCCAGAUAUAAACAGCAACAUCAGAAAGAAGGAACACGAGAAGCUCAAGAAAUACCAAGGGCUGUGAGUAGAACUCGAGAAGAUGUGGAAGGUGAAGGUAACAGUAGUCCUAGUGACAAUCAGAGCAAUCGGGGCUCCAGCAGAUCCCAGGAACAACAUCUGAGAUCUCUCUCCAUUUCCUAGGAACUGGAAAGAUUCUGCGCAGGACCCUCAAGCUACCAAGCCACCAGUAGAGGACCUGAGCUUGAAGGAUAAAGACCUCCUGCAGGAGCAAGAGGAGAAUUUUUUUAAUAUACAUUAUCUCUAAGGCAGUCUAUGGGCAUCAUUAUAUAAUAGACAUAUGGAAUAAUAUCUGCAUAUGUUAUUUACACUAGCUAAUAAUUUUGCAGCACAUGGGGAGAAACUCAAAUUAUUCAAUCAUGGAUAGAAAUUGUAGAAACAAACUGCCAGACAGAGCAACGCCAGUCCACCAUACACCAGUGUGUGCAUUUGCAAAUAUGCAAAGGUCUGCGUGGCUCAGAGUGAUGCAAAAUUGAUCAUUAGAGGGUGGACUCUUUACAGACAUCCACGUCCCCUCUAGUUUAUUGUGACUGCUUCAGCUUGUCUGCAUAGUCUUGUCUGUGCGUGCGUCCUUCAAAUUGAUUAGAAUGUGGCAUUAAAGGAGCUACUCGUACAUGUCUGCAACUUUCUGUGUGCACAGUGGCUAGAGAGUAUAAGGCCAGGGUUAUCCUCAGUCUCAUGGACAGACAUCACGAACAAGUAGUUGUUCCAUUUUAAGUGUUUCUAGAAGAUAUAUAGAUACAGCACCAGCUUUAUUCUCCCAGCAUAAUAAAAAUGAAAAUUUGUGUUGAAGUUUGACGUUUUUGGUAUGCCAACCCAAUAUUUUUAGUGGCCCCCAUAUGGCCACCCCUGUGUAAACAAUUCUGGAGGCGCCCUUGCAUUUAAGCAAGCAAGACUUGCCAUCAGAUUGAACUGAUCAGUUAGCAAACAAGACCUAUUUUUGUUUCUACCCAAAACUAAUGAAGUAGCUGUAGCCAAUGUAAAUACAAUCUGCAUUAAAAUCCUUACAUGUAGUAAGAAGUUUACAUAGACCUCAGAGGGAGAUGAGAAUAACGGACACCUCACCCAGUGACCUUGCUGUGAAAAACUCCCUCUGCUCUCCGACCAAUUGCCUAAUUAAUCGGCCUGGCGGCUGAUAGCUCUGAAUUAGUUUGCAAAACAAAUGAGGGUGGCUGCUGCACCACUGAAACCUCUGUGGGGAUGGGCAGUGAAGGAGGCGCUGUCAUGAAUGAAUAACAAGACCCAUACUUCUUUCACAUUUGAGGAAUAAUUUCUAAUUCUUUGUGUUUUAUACCGAUAGUCCGGGGGCUUUAUUCCACCGAUAAAAGAACAAGGAUUUACAAGCACAAAGGAGCAACAGGAGGGGUUUAAUGUUCCUCCACCACAGUUUAACCCAGGUGGACAUUUGGUUUAUCUGGAGGUUGAACCGGUGCCCACAGAGCCAUUUUAGCCCUUUUUGAAAAAGAACUUUUUGCUUAUACAUCACAGGAGGCGUGUUGCUGCUGCUAAAUACAAAGCGGGUAAGACAUUAAAGGGAUUUUCAGGUGCCACUUGAUCAAUAGAAUAAUGGGGGUAAUUAUCCCUCGAGUGGAGAAAGGUCUGCAAUUUAAAUGGACUGUUUGAGGCUGGAGUUUAGCCAUCACUAGAUUAAGUCCAAAGCGGAGGUGUCUGUUUUCUCUUUGCUUGUAACAGAGCAAACACGGCAUCCUCCAAAUCAUAUACGCUGAUCAUGCGUCUCAUGAAGUUUGAAAUAGAGGUACAUGGUCAUUUUACUGGAAAGCAGUCAUCCUCCAGAUAGAACUGACCGUGCUUAGUUAAUGUCAUGUGGAAUCUACCUACUAGAUUUUUACUAUCAUUUCACUAGAAGGGACAACAACAUCAUAUACAAUUAGACAAUGUUUGAAGCAGUUUGGGGAAGGUCUUAGUGAGGAUUGGUGAUGGCUUCCAGGCCAGACAGAUCUCCCUGGUACCAGCAAAAGUAGGCAAGAAAAUGAGAAAGAGGAAGGGGCAGUGGGGCACAGACAUGGGAGCAAACAGGCAUAUAGGGCAGCCAAAAAUUCAAAAAAAAGCUGUCCCCAAACAUGUUGUUCAUGUGGUAACAGAGGAAGCGCAUUGAGUCAUCUUCAGUGAAGAAAAUUCCAUAUGAAGUCUGACUUAUACUAUUUGGGAAGAGUUUGGUUUGCUAUGCUUGGGCGAGCAAUAGUUGACUAGUAACUUGCAGGAUGCUGGUUUGUGUCUCUGUUUAGAGCAUCUCUCAUUUGACUGUUUUCGUACAUGAUCACUGUCAAAAAUAAGCACAAUGAAGAAAAACAGGACCAAACUAGUCUUUAAUGGAUAUUUAUUUGUCCCUGUCCAUCCAGUUAAGGCUGUCAGAGGUUUUUGGACAAAGACAUAAUUUUUAUCAUUUUCCUUGUGGUGACCACCUCAGGGUAGCACUCAGGAUGUGACUGAAGUGAUGAAAGCAAAAGGGGUCCAAUUUGGUACUAGUGAGGUGACAUAAUAAAGUGUCCAUUGACUGGUGGCAACCAGUGAAUUUAGGGCAGAAUGCUGUUAUCACCAUCUUAAUUUCCUGUGUUGUCAUGUCAACAUCUUUUAAUAAGCUCUAAAUCUUGAAAAACAAACAGCAGUGACUAAAAUCUAAAAGUUAUUUCAUUUCAUCCACAAGGGGAAAAUAAAUGCACAAAGUUUCAAGGGAGUGCAUCCAGCAGUUGAUUGAUAUUUCUUGCCUAAAGUAGAAAUGUUUGUGCAAAAUAACUUUUGACCCUUUUUUGUUUCAGAAGUGUUCAGAGUGCAGAUUGGUCACUUUGCAAUGCUGUAGGACGAAUACCGACUUUUUUCAUUAAAAAUAAAAUAUAAUUUCCAUUGGUGUCAUCAUUCUGUGACAUUUUGUGUGUUUGUGUGUCGCUUUAUCAUUAAGAAGCCAGUCCAAAGCACGUUCGUGUCAUGAGACAGUAAUUUGUUGCUCUGGCCAGUGGGGAUUUUCAUUUAUUAACCAUUUAAAUCAUGUGUUACUUAAAAUCCACACAGAAAUUCGACCCUGGUUUAGCUCAGCUCUCAACAUUUUGGCCUCUAAAUUUUACAAUUAUCUCAAAGGCAAUAAAUCAUCUCUUGUCAACUUGAGAAGAAGAAGAAAAGUUCAGCAACUGGAAAAAAGAUGGAAAAUAUAUGAAAUUUCCAGUGGGCAUAAACAUAGCGUCAAAUGACAAAAGGUCACAUGGAUAUCCAGGGCAGGUUCACCUUUCUGAAAAUGAUUUGAAACAUCAUACAGCUGCUGCCAAAUACAGCAGUCCCAGCUCUGCAUAUCUUAAAUCAGCAAUACUGUUGCUCUUUACAGUGUACAGACGAAUCAGCUCAUCCCCUUCUACUCCGUGUACCAGUCUUGGAGAUCACCCAAACUUAAUGAGCUGGUGACCUUUCACAGCAUCAUUUUGCAGACAGCCUAUUGCUAAGUCAUAAUCUACACAGCAAUAGCAGAUUGUGUGAUUUGCAUUUAUAUUGAUGGGGAGGGAGUGUGAUGUGAUUGAUGCAUUGGCGGUUGCAGCGGCUGCAGGCUGGACAGGGGCUGAUAAAAUGACAUACUGGAUCAUCUAGGGCCCUUUUGGUCUCUCCAGCCAAGUCAAAACAUUAUUUCUGUUUCACACGUCGUCCUGAUGAGGGUCCCAAAGGUUACAGUGUAGACUGAGGUCAGUGUUGAUGAUCAAUCAGCAGCUGC